rnacentral:misc_RNA from 1 species
AGGACUACCGGGGUAUCUAAUCCUGUUUGCUACCCACGCUUUCGCACCUCAGCGUCAAUCUUUGUCCAGUAAGCUGCCUUCGCCAUUGGUGUUCCUUCAUAUAUCUACGCAUUCCACCGCUACACAUGAAAUUCCACUUACCUCUCCAAGAUUCUAGUUCAACAGUUUUCAACGCCUUUCAACGGUUGGGCCGUUGUAUUUGACAUCAAACUUAUUGUACCGCCUACGUGCCCUUUACGCCCAAUAAUUCCGGAUAACGCUCGGGACCUACGUAUUACCGCGGCGGCUGGCACU